GACGAACGCUGGCGGCGUGCUUAACACAUGCAAGUCGAACGGAAAGGCCCUGCUUUUGUGGGGUGCUCGAGUGGCGAACGGGUGAGUAACACGUGAGUAACCUGCCCUUGACUUUGGGAUAACUUCAGGAAACUGGGGCUAAUACCGGAUAGGAGCUCCUGCUGCAUGGUGGGGGUUGGACAGUUUGGGCGGUUGGGGAUGGACUCGCGGCUUAUCAGCUUGUUGGUGGGGUAGUGGCUUACCAAGGCUUUGACGGGUAGCCGGCCUGAGAGGGUGGCCGGCGACAUGGCGACUGAGAUACGGCCCAGACGGCUACGGGAGGCAGUAGUGGGGAAUAUGGCACAACGGGCGGAAGCCUGAGGCAGCAACGCCGCGUGCGGGAUGACGGCCUUCGGGUUGUAAACCGCAUUCGCCUGUGACGAAGCGUGAGUGACGGUAAUGGGUAAAGAAGCACCGGCUAACUACGUG
rnacentral:rRNA from 1 species